UGUCGCGUCUGCGCAGUGGCCCUGGUCGACGGUUCGCCGCGCGUGGCUGCUGCUCCAAACAGCACGAGUUUCCUGGAGUGGGCUUCCGUGGCGCGCGGGGCUCACGGGCUAUGUCUUGGCUCUUUGGUAUCAACAAAGGCCCCAAGGGCGAAGGCACGGGCCCCCCCUUGGCCUUGCCGCCCAUGCCACCUGGGGCUGAGGGAGGCGGCGACCGCGGCGCGGGAGACCGGCCGGCGCCCAAGGACAAAUGGAGCAACUUUGACCCGACAGGCCUGGAACGCGCGGCCAAGGCGGCGCGCGAGCUGGAGCACUCGCGACACGCCAAAGAGGCACUGAGUCUGGCACAGAUGCAGGAGCAGACGCUGCAGCUGGAGCAACAGUCCAAGCUCAAGGAGUACGAGGCUGCCGUGGAGCAGCUGAAGAGCGAGCAGAUCCGAGUGCAGGCUGAGGAGAGGAGGAAGACCCUGAGCGAGGAGACGCGGCAGCACCAGGCGAGGGCCCAGUACCAGGACAAACUGUCCCGGCAGCGCUACGAUGACCAGCUGAAGCAGCAGCAACUUCUCAAUGAGGAGAAUUUACGGAAGCAGGAGGAGUCUGUGCAGAAGCAGGAGGCCAUGCGGCAAGCCACUGUGGAGCGGGAGAUGGAACUGCGGCACAGGAAUGAGAUGCUGCGUGUGGAGGCGGAGGCGCGGGCCCGGGCCAAGGCAGAGAGGGAGAAUGCAGACAUCAUCCGUGAGCAGAUCCGCCUGAAGGCCGCGGAGCACCGCCAGACCAUCCUGGAGUCCAUCAGGACCGCUGGCACCCUGUUUGGUGAAGGAUUCCGUGCCUUUGUGACCGACUGGGACAAAGUGACAGCCACGGUGGCAGGGCUGACGCUGUUGGCCGUCGGGGUCUACUCUGCCAAGAACGCCACUGCCGUUGCUGGCCGGUACAUUGAGGCCCGGCUAGGGACCCCGUCGCUGGUGCGGGAGACUUCUCGCAUCUCGGUGCUGGAGGCGCUGAGGCACCCUGUGCAGGUCAGCAGGCGGCUGCUCAGCAGGCCCCAGGAUGCACUGGAAGGAGUCAUUCUCAGUCCCAGCCUGGAGGCGCGGGUGCGGGACAUCGCCAUAGCGACAAGGAACACCAAGAAGAACAGGAGUCUGUACCGGAACCUUCUGAUGUACGGACCUCCCGGAACCGGCAAAACGCUGUUCGCCAAGAAACUGGCGCUGCACUCUGGCAUGGACUACGCCAUCAUGACUGGCGGGGACGUGGCGCCCAUGGGGCGGGAGGGAGUGACCGCCAUGCACAAGGUCUUCGACUGGGCCAACAGCAGCAGGCGAGGCCUCCUGCUCUUCGUGGAUGAAGCAGACGCCUUCCUAAGGAAGCGGGCGACUGAGAAGAUCAGCGAAGACCUCAGGGCGACCCUGAACGCCUUCCUGCACAGAACGGGCCAGCACAGCAGCAAGUUCAUGCUGGUGCUGGCCAGCAACCAGCCCGAGCAGUUCGACUGGGCCAUCAACGACCGCAUCGAUGAGAUGGUCUGCUUCGGCCUGCCGCUGCGCGAGGAGCGCGAGCGCCUGGUGAGGAUGUAUUUCGACAAGCAUGUCCUUGAGCCAGCCACGGGAGGGAAGCAGCGUCUGAAGCUGGCUGAGUUUGACUACGGGAAGAAGUGCUCGGAGGUGGCCCAGCUGACGGAGGGCCUGUCGGGCCGGGAGAUCGCCCAGCUGGCCGUGGCAUGGCAGGAACUCGCUGUGUAGCCCAGGCUGGCCUUGCACUUGUAGUGAUCCUCCUGCCUCAGCCUCCUGAGUGGUGGGACUACAGGCCAUGGCGUAUGCCUCUGAAGAUGGGGUCCUCACCGAGGCCAUGAUGGAUGCCCGUGUCCAGGAUGCUGUCCAGCAGCACCAGCAGAAGAUGCAGUGGCUGAAGGUGGAGGGACCCACAGUGACCGUGCCAGGCCCCCCUGACACUUGACCAGCAGCCCCUCCUGCCAGGGCUGUGCGGAUUCCCAAGGCCAGCAGUGGGCAGUGGCGCAGUGGGGCUCCCCAUCCCCACCCUCCCUCUGUGGGUGCUGCUGGGAGGAGCAGGCCCUCCUUGUGCCUGGGACACUAGCCCAGGCAGGGUGGUGGUGGCGUGCUGUGGCCUUGGUCUGCGGUCUGACCUGGGUGAAGGGCCCCCACUGCCCAUCUGGCCUGGCUGGACACUGCCCGGCCCACACACAGUUGUGCCAGUGAGCCCGGCCCAGGGGCAGCGGUGCCGCGUGCGCAGUGACCUGCUGCCUGGCUGGGACUGCAGCGGAGCCUUUUUACCCAAAAUCAAAUAAAACUCUUUGACGUACCCCUU